GGAAAGUUAAACCAUGCUUUUUUUCAGUGCAGGGAAAUGGUUGCGCCCCUUCCUCCAAAUCUCGCGGGGGAUAAAUAAGGUGCUCUCGCUAUCCAGACCUCCGCCACUGUCCCCUACCCCACCCCCACUCGGGCGCUGGGUGUGGACAGGGCGGAGGAAGGCUAUAUGGGAGCUUAAGGCAUGAGGUCAUGGGCGGAGGAGGCUGCUGCCAAAGCGGCCGAGGUUUUUGUGUAUUUUGAGGGGUAACGGUUCUCCAUCUUCAGCAGCGCCUCAGAGUGCUUACGGAUAGAUCCAGCCUGAAAUAGAAAAUGGAACGAAGUCAAUGAAGAAAAACCACACAGUAAACCUCUGGAUGAAACGUUGUGCCUUUCCUUUGGAGGCACGAGGUGGCAAGAUGGCGGUGCAAAUUCCCAAGAAGGGAAAGCUUGUUGCUGAUGGCAUUUUCAAAGGUGAACUGAAUGUUUCUCACUCAGGAGCUGGCUAAAGAUGGCUACUCUGGAGGAGUAGAUGCCUCCAGGCAUUUUUAACACAGAGAAAAAUAUUAAUGAUCAAACAUAAAGAAGUGAAGAGAUGCUCCUUCAGGGCAAGUAUGGUUUUGAACAGAGAAACUAGAAGACAGAUAAUCCACAGAGAACUGUCCCAUCUUAAGGACAAAAGUGGAGAACCCACGUGGAGGUGUGUCCAGUCCAGAGGAGUCUUUCUUUGCAAACUCAUAGAUGCACUUUGGGGAUGUGGUCAUCAGUGCAGAAAUCAUGUAGAAGAAGAAACUGACAGACUUUUCUCCCAUACUUGACUUGUCGUAAACCCACAGUGAAAUUAAUUUUGGUUUCUAUUUAUGUGUCUUGUGGCUGCAGCCUGCGACGAUAUGAACCACUCUUAUGCUGAAUGUGUACUUGUGCCUGAGUGAAGUUUCUAUAUGAAUUCAAUAAUUGUUCAGUUCUUCACUUCGCUUCGUCAACAGUGUUCACUGCACACCUGCUGUGCUCUGUAACGGAGGUACUCGGGGGAUGUGCAGAGACACUUGCAUCCUCCCUGGCCCUCUGGCUGAGCUCUGGCAGAUGCCAAGCUGGUUUAUCACCCAAGGCUGGGCCCAUGUGUCCCUUCUAGGGCCACUCAGCCCAGGAAUUUUUUCCUUCCAAAUUUCUUUCCAACUGUACAUUUAGUUCUUUGUAAAUGUUUCCUGAAUACCUGUCUUAUUACUAAAUAUUUUUCCAGUGUAUAUUCUCUCUUACACAUGAAAUCAUAAACCUCUUAAAGGUGAAUACAUAUUCAUAUUACUUCUUAGCAUCUUACUUCUUAGCAUCGCCAUCCCAAUCACAGAGCCUAACACGAUUUGAUAUGUGUUUAUUUUACUUUAAAGCAUAAUUUGUCUUUAUUAUAUAAUUACACUUGUUCAUAAUGAAAAUGUUCAUUAUGUAAAUUUAGAUAAUCUAGACAAGCAAAAAGAAGACUUUUAAGUUGCCCAAAGUUCUACCGUUCAAGAAUAAGUAUUGUUAACAUCGUGCAUGGGGUAUACACCAAACAGGAUAUAUAUUUACCCCAAGGAAGCUAAAAUUUUAAUGGAAUGAAUUGAAAUAUACACAACCACAAACAAGAAGGGGUGAGAUGAUGGAGUUAGGUUUCUUGAGAAGCCAGGAAGAUGAUGUGGUUUCUUGUGGCCCAGGGCAGGCAGCAUAAGUGUGCUUGUAGAGACUUGGCGAAGCGGGCCAUCCAGAAAAUAGUUCUCCCAUCAGCUCUUGGCGUCAUUAUCACAGGAAUAAAGACUGUCCUUCCACAGCAGCAUUGAAUGACAGGCAGAAGUGUGGUUCCCAAACCAGCAACAUCAGUGUCACCUGGGAACUUUUCAGAACUGCAUCUUCUCAGGUCCCAUCCUAGAUCCACUGAAUCAGAAACACUGGGGGUGGCCCAACAGGCUGUUUUAAGAAGCCGUCCAAGCGAUGCUGAUGCACAAUAAAGUCUGAGAAGCACUGUCUAAAAACUGGGAUUGUAUCUUGUUCAUUGUUGAGUUCUCUGUCUCAGCACCUGCUGCCUAGAAGAAUUUGUUAAAUCAAGAAGACAAGCACCAGGGCCAGUCCCAUGGCCUAGUGGUUGAAUUUGGUGCAGUCUGUUUCAGUGGCCUGGGUUCACAUGUUCACAUCCCGGGCAUGGACCUACACCACUCGUCAGCCAUGCUAUGGCGGUGACCCACAUACAAAAUAGAGGAAGACCGGCACAGAUGUUGGCUCAGGGCUAAUCUUCCUCAGGGAAAAAGAGGAAGAUUGGCCACAGAUGUUAGCUCAAGGUGAAUCUUCCUCACACACACACAAAGAAUACAAAUACCCCUGAGAGAUGCAUCGAUUUUUUAAAUUAUUUUUAUUAUGGUAUAUUGCUCAUAGAAAUAUGUAAAAGAUAAAUGAACCCCUAGUAUAUCCAGCCCUCUCUAUAGUUUGCCACGUUUCCUUCAGAUAUUUUUUUAAGAGAACAAAAACAUUGCAGAUACAACUGAGAACUUUCUGUGCAUCCUCUUCCUGAGCUCAUUCUCCUUUCUCCUUU
rnacentral:lncRNA from 1 species